GCCCAGCUGGCUCAGUCAGUAGAGCAUGCGACUCUUGAUCUCCAGGUCGUAAGUUCGAGUCCCACGCUGGGUG
rnacentral:tRNA from 1 species